rnacentral:rRNA from 1 species
CCCUUAGAUGUUCUGGGCUGCACGCGCGCUACACUGAUGCGAUCAACAAGUUUUUCCUAUGUCGAUAGACACGGGUAAUCUUUUGAACUCGCAUCGUGAUGGGGAUAGAUUAUUGUAAUUAUUAAUCUUCAACGAGGAAUUCCUAGUAGGAGCAAAUCAUCAGUUUGCAUCGAUUACGUCCCUGCCCUUUGUACACACCGCCCGUCGCUGCUACCGAUUGGUUGAUCUGGUGAAUUAUUCGGACUGCCGGCUGAAGGGGUUUCCUCAUCUGCCAGCGGAAAGUCUUGUUAACCCUAUCAACUAGAGGAAGCAGAAGUCGUAACA